GGUUACUCAAAGCCAUAGGAAUCAAACAUUUCGGGGUAUGUUUAAUUCUUGGGUGUGUCUUGUGUUUUGUGUCAAUUUCAUAUGCAAACAGAGAUGUGCCAUCCCCAGGAGGCGAUUGGUGGAGUGAUUCCCAGUCCUAGCCCGUGAUUGGCUGCAGCUGAAAACCACCUCAUGUAUAAAGAGAGAUCGUGGCCGAAUAAAACACUAAACGUUUAUUUCAUGGAGGACCUGAUUUUUUUUGCAUCGCAACGUGUUGGAAAUGUCUUCAAUGUAACCAUGCACACAUAGACUGGGUUUAAAUUGGAUGAGAUGGAUAACGUAGUAUUUAUUACAGACUAAGUGAGGUUGAAAGCUGAUAUGAUAUAAGCAGGUAAUAUUUUUAAAAUAGUCGUCUUGAUUACACCAAUGGUUUAGUUGUAGUUUUGACUUUCUAGUUAUAGAUUGUUCUAACAGAACAGUGGCGCUGCAGUCAUGUGAAGAUGAUCUUGUUGAAUAUGACGCGUUGCGAUUGAAAAACUACCCGUUUGGCUGGGCUCUGUCAGGCUUUAUUUUGCAAGAAUUUUCUGCUGGCUGUACGUUAUCCCUCACAUAGACCACCAGAUAAUUUCUUAUACUCAAUGAAUGCAACAAAAGUAUAGUUAUAUAAAGCAUGAUCACAAUGUCUGCUAGUUUUCACUUUAGCUUUGAAUGCUCCUGUCCAAAACACCUAGGACAAAUCUGGACUUUGGUUUAGUUUAAAAGUUGAGCAAUGGCUAAAGUUACACAUACUGCUAACAACAAACAAACAAUUUAAUUCGAAUACAUACAUGUUGCCAUGGAUAUUAAUCUCCAUGGCAACUUGUAUGCAAAUGAGCAGAGGCCCUUUCAUGUCCAUUAAGAAUGUUUUUAGCCUUGAUGUGUCGUGUUCCGGAAUAUCAGGCAAGCAUAUAUCACAGGCUGAUCAGUGUCUGCUCUCAGUUUGGACAGAGGGCUGAGAGGAGUAGGUGCUUUCAUGGUUAUGUAUUGACUCACGGAUUUUAAACUUUUUUUCAACAUACCUAAGGUGAGGAUCAACAAAAACAUGAAUCAUCGGGGGACCUAAGGUGGAUCGAGUGAUGCCUGGGUGCUCUAAUAAGCCAUCGGUAAUGGUAUGUACCUGUCAGUCAACCAGUCACACUGUUAAUAAUGCGCUUCAAGCAUUAAUAUCAUCUGAAGGGAUGUUUUAAGUGAGGACCUGUGUUCCUUCACUUGUUUGGUCGUUUGUCUCAGUUUCUGUGUUCUGUGUCUCAAUCAUGCGUUUUGUUUGGUUUUAUUUUAUUUUCAAGUGUUUUGCUUCCGUACGCUGACACUUGAUGUUUUCUCGUCGUCGUCGAACAUUUGUAGACAUUUUUUGCGAACUCGUGGAUCAUUGAAAGAAUAAGGUUGAUAUUUUCCUUGUUCUCAACCAAAGAAGCAUUUCAUUUUAAUCAGCCUCCAAAGAUUCAACCAUUUCAAACUGUGUUUCAACAUACCUAAGGUAAAUAAUGGUUUUCACUUUUGUACCAAGGCCUGCAAGUUUGGGUAGAUUUUUCAAAUGUUCUGCUAGUGUACACUGACACUUGAUCAUUUCUACCUACUGCAGCAUAUUUGACCAAAAUGUUUUGUGAACUUGUGGCUUAUUUGAGGAAUAUUGUGGGUUUUAUUUUGCAUUCUUACAUGUUGUCAUGUAAUCACAUCGCUAAGAACAUAAGAUUUUAAUCCAAAUAGGUAGAUUCAAAGGUUUUCUGACAUAGCUAGGGCAAAUUAAUGAUUUUCACUUUUGUACCAAAGUCUUCAAGUUUGGGUAGAUUUCUCAGGUGUUCUUGAUAAUUUUUUUGCUAACUUCUACUCAUUGCAUAAUAUUUGUACUAUGUUUUUUGCUAACUUGUAUUUUUUUCUGUCUCUUCCAGCCUCAUUAAUUUUGUCUUUCUUUCUUUUUCAGAUGUUUUAAGUGAGGACCUGUGUUCCUUCACUUGUUUGGUCGUUUGUCUCAGUUUCUGUGUUCUGUGUCUCAAUCAUGCGUUUUGUUUGGUUUUAUUUUAUUUUCAAGUGUUUUGCUUCCGUACGCUGACACUUGAUGUUUUCUCAUCGUCGUCGAACAUUUGUAGACAUUUUUUGCGAACUCGUGGAUCAUUGAAAGAAUAAGGUUGAUAUUUUCCUUGUUCUCAACCAAAGAAGCAUUUCAUUUUAAUCAGCCUCCAAAGAUUCAACCAUUUCAAACUGUGUUUCAACAUACCUAAGGUAAAUAAUGGUUUUCACUUUUGUACCAAGGCCUGCAAGUUUGGGUAGAUUUUUCAAAUGUUCUGCUAGUGUACACUGACACUUGAUCAUUUCUACCUACUGCAGCAUAUUUGACCAAAAUGUUUUGUGAACUUGUGGCUUAUUUGAGGAAUAUUGUGGGUUUUAUUUUGCAUUCUUACAUGUUGUCAUGUAAUCACAUCGCUAAGAACAUAAGAUUUUAAUCCAACUAGGUAGAUUCAAAGGUUUUAUGACAUAGCUAGGGCAAGUUAAUGAUUUUCACUUUUGUACCAAAGUCUUCAAGUUUGGGUAGAUUUCUCAGGUGUUCUUGAUAAUUUUUUUGCUAACUUCUACUCAUUGCAUAAGAUUUGUACUAUGUUUUUUGCUAACUUGUAUUUUGUUUUGUCUCUUCCAGCCUCAUUAAUUUUGUCUUUCUUUCUUUUUCAGAUGUUUUAAGUGAGGACCUGUGUUCCUUCACUUGUUUGGUCGUUUGUCUCAGUUUCUGUGUUCUGUGUCUCAAUCAUGCGUUUUGUUUGGUUUUAUUUUAUUUUCAAGUGUUUUGCUUCCGUACGCUGACACUUGAUGUUUUCUCAUCGUCGUCGAACAUUUGUAGACAUUUUUUGCGAACUCGUGGAUCAUUGAAAGAAUAAGGUUGAUAUUUUCCUUGUUCUCAACCAAAGAAGCAUUUCAUUUUAAUCAGCCUCCAAAGAUUCAACCAUUUCAAACUGUGUUUCAACAUACCUAAGGUAAAUAAUGGUUUUCACUUUUGUACCAAGGCCUGCGAGUUUGGGUAGAUUUUUCAAGUGUUCUGCUAGUGUACACUGACACUUGAUCAUUUCUACCCAUCGCAGCAUAUUUGACUAA